GUCAGUUUGGCCGAGUGGUUAAGGCGUUGGUCUUCUAUCGACGAUCCUGACCACGGACCGUGAGGGUAACCAAUGGGGCUAAAUCCCCUCGUGGGUUCGAUUCCCGCAGCUGACA
rnacentral:tRNA from 1 species